GGUCGAGCGAAGCGCUUAAGUCAGAAUCUUCGGAGGAAGGCUUUUGUGACUGAGCGGCGGACGGGUGAGUAACGCGUGGGUAACCUGCCUUACACAGGGGGAUAACAGUUAGAAAUGACUGCUAAUACCGCAUAAGACCACAGUACCGCAUGGUACAGUGGUAAAAACUGAGGUGGUGUAAGAUGGACCCGCGUCUGAUUAGGUAGUUGGUGGGGUAACGGCCCACCAAGCCGACGAUCAGUAGCCGGCCUGAGAGGGUGGACGGCCACAUUGGGACUGAGACACGGCCCAGACUCCUACGGGAGGCAGCAGUGGGGAAUAUUGCACAAUGGGGGAAACCCUGAUGCAGCGACGCCGCGUGAGCGAUGAAGUAUUUCGGUAUGUAAAGCUCUAUCAGCAGGGAAGAAAAUGACGGUACCUGACUAAGAAGCCCCGGCUAACUACGUGCCAGCAGCCGCGGUAAUACGUAGGGGGCAAGCGUUAUCCGGAUUUACUGGGUGUAAAGGGAGCGUAGACGGCAUGGCAAGCCAGAUGUGAAAUACCGGGGCUCAACCCCGGGACUGCAUUUGGAACUGUUAAGCUGGAGUGUCGGAGAGGCAGGCGGAAUUCCUAGUGUAGCGGUGAAAUGCGUAGAUAUUAGGAGGAACACCGGCGGCGAAGGCGGCCUGCUGGACUGCGACUGACGUUGAGGCUCGAAAGCGUGGGGAGCGAACAGGAUUAGAUACCCUGGUAGUCCACGCCGUAAACGAUGACUACUAGGUGUCGGGGCACGACAGUGCUUCGGUGCCGGCGCAAACGCAAUAAGUAGUCCACCUGGGGAGUA
rnacentral:rRNA from 1 species